rnacentral:rRNA from 1 species
UUCGAUUCUGGCUCAGGAUGAACGCUAGCUACAGGCUUAACACAUGCAAGUCGAGGGGCAGCAUUGGAGUAGCAAUACUCAGAUGGCGACCGGCGCACGGGUGGGUAACACGUAUCCAACCUGCCGCUUACUCGGGGAUAGCCUUUCGAAAGAAAGAUUAAUACCCGAUGGUAUAAAGAGUUCGCAUGUUCUCUUUAUUAAAGAAUUUCGGUAAGCGAUGGGGAUGCGUUCCAUUAGAUAGUUGGCGGGGUAACGGCCCACCAAGUCUACGAUGGAUAGGGGUUCUGAGAGGAAGGUCCCCCACAUUGGAACUGAGACACGGUCCAAACUCCUACGGGAGGCAGCAGUGAGGAAUAUUGGUCAAUGGACGAGAGUCUGAACCAGCCAAAGUAGCGUGAAGGAUGACUGCCCUAUGGGUUGUAAACUUCUUUUAUAAGGGAAUAAAGUGAGGGACGUGUCCCUUUUUGUAUGUACCUUAUGAAUAAGGAUCGGCUAACUCCGUGCCAGCCGCCGC